CGGCUGCCACCGUCUAAUGCUGAGUUCCAGUAUAGAGAGAGAACAGGGAGUCAAAAAGAAGACUAAUUGUGCUGCGAAUUCUUCCAUCUAUUUCGGUCCCAAAUCAAAUUCUGUCCGUAAUCAGGUUCAUUUUGAAAAUCCGAUGCAUUUUUGUUGAGGUUCAGCUUCUAAUAGGAAUCAUCGAUGUCUCUUUCCAUGAAAGAUGAUGUUCAAGGAAGCCUUGUUGGCUCGGAGAUUCAUGGCUUCCAUACAUUGCAAGAUUUGGAUGUUAAAAACAUCAGGGAGGAAGCAAGUGCAAGAUGGCUUCGUCCAAAUGAAAUCCAGGCAAUACUAUGUAACUACAAAUAUUUUGUCAUCCAUGUCAAGCCAGUGAACUUGCCCAAAAGUGGAACCAUUGUACUAUUUGAUCGCAAGAUGCUUAGGAAUUUUCGCAAAGAUGGACAUAAUUGGAAGAAAAAAAAGGAUGGAAAGACAGUAAAAGAAGCUCAUGAACACCUAAAAGUUGGUAAUGUAGAAAGGAUACAUGUAUACUAUGCCCAUGGCCUUGAUAACCCAACCUUUGUUCGUCGAUGUUAUUGGCUCCUUGAUAAGUCUCUUGAACACAUUGUCCUUGUUCAUUACCGCGAAACAAAAGAGUGGCAGAGUUCUCCAUCUACAUCGAUGAAUUCAAAUUCUGGUUCUGUCUCUAACCCAUCAGCUCAUUGGCUUUUAUCGGAAGAACUUGAUUCCAGGGCUACUCAUGUCUAUUCUGUUGGUGGAAAUGAAUUGUCAGAGCCUAGUGAUACUACAACAGUCAUGGCUCAUGAACAACGGCUUCAUGAGAUCAACACACUUGAGUGGGAUGAACUUCUUGUGACGAACGAGCCUCUCAAACCUGCCAUGACUAAAGAAGACAAACUUUCAUGCUUUGACCAACAGAACCAAGUCCCAAUAAAUGUGGCCAACAAGAUCUUCGGGGUGAUAACUUCAUUUAAUAAUCCAGUUGAGUCAAUUGGGAGUGCCAACAGCAUAGGAAGUGUGAAUAUGUCAUUAAUGGGUGGUCAAACGAAUUUGAAUGUUGAGAGUAGGGAAUCCAUUCCAAUUAAUUCGUUGGACAAUUUGUUAAAUGAUGGAGGAUUGCAAAGUCAGGACAGCUUAGGACAAUGGAUCAAUGAAGUCAUCACUGACUCGCCUGGUUCAGUCAUUGAUCCUGCUAUUGAGCCGUCCAUUUCAUCUGUUCACAAUUCCUAUUGUGAUUCGACAUUAUAUCACCAUCACUCUUCGGUGGAGCAAAUUUUUAACAUAACUGCUGUCUCACCUGCGUGGGCCUUUUCAACAGAAAAAACAAAGAUUGUAAUCAUUGGAUAUUUUUCUGAUGAGUACGUACAUCUAGCGAAGUCCAAAAUAUCUGUUGUUUGUGGUGAUACUAGUAUUAAUGCUGAUUUUGUUCAACCUGGAGUUUAUAGCUGUCAGGUAGAACCACGUUCACCGGGACUUGUACAUUUAUACCUGAGCUUAGUUGGUCACAAACCUAUUAGUCAAGUUCUGAAUUUUGAGUAUCGUGCACCACUUUUACAAGUGCCUGAAGUUACGUCAGAACAGAUCCUCGAGUGGGAGGAGUUUCAAGUUCAGAUGCGGCUUGCUCAUCUGAUGUUCUCUACAUCCAAGAGCCUGAGCAUCAUGUCGACUAAAUUGUCACCCACUGCCCUGAACGACGCCAAGAAACUAGCUGUCAAAACUUCUGGCAUUUCUGAUGGUUGGAUUUAUUUGUUAAAAUCAGUUACAGAAAAUAAAACUCCAAUUCCACAAGCAAGAGAGGGUGUUCUUGAGAUGAUAUUGAGAAGCAGGUUGAGGGAAUGGCUGAUAGAAAGAGUUGCUGAAGGCUCAAAGAAAAGCACUGAGUUUGAUGUAAAUGGUCAAGGAGUAAUCCAUUUGUGUGCCAUGUUGGGAUAUACCUGGGCUGUACAUCUAUUUGUCUGGUCUGGUUUAUCUAUAAACUUUCGAGAUAAAUCUGGAUGGACAGCUCUUCACUGGGCAGCUUAUUAUGGAAGGGAGAGGAUGGUAGCUGCUCUUUUAUCUGUGGGGGCAAAGCCAAGCUUGAUCACUGAUCCCACAUCAAAGAACCCUCUGGGAUAUACGGCAGCAGAUCUUGCAUCUAUAAAUGGUUUUAAUGGCUUAGCUGCUUAUCUUUCUGAAAAGGCUUUGGUAUCUCAUUUUGAAGAGAUGAGCUUGGCUGGAAAUGUUAGUGGCUCAUUGGAAACUAAUACAAUACCUGAUACCACGAACUUUGAUAGCGUCAGUGAGGAGCAGAUGUAUAUGAAAGAAACAUUAGCAGCUUAUCGGACAGCAGCUGAUGCAGCAGCACGCAUACAAGCAGCAUUCCGUGAGCAUUCUUUAAAGCAAAGGACUGACGCAAUUGAACUCUCCACCCCUGAAGCUGAAGCACGUGGUAUUGUUGCGGCCAUGAAAAUUCAACAUGCCUUCCGCAACUUUGAAACACGAAAAAAAAUGGCAGCUGCUGCUCGUAUUCAAUACAGAUUCCGCACGUGGAAGAUCCGCAAAGACUUCCUUAAUAUGCGUCGUCAAAUUAUUAGGAUUCAAGCUGCAUUUAGAGGUUUCCAAGUGCGAAGACAGUAUCGCAAGAUCGUUUGGUCGGUAGGAAUUGUUGAGAAAGCUAUACUGCGCUGGCGUCUUAAGAGAAAAGGUUUUCGUGGGCUUCAAGUUGCACCAGCUGAAGUGACAGAAUAUCAGGAAACUGGCAUGGAAGAGGACUUCUAUCGCGUAUCUCAGAAACAAGCAGAAGAGCGAGUUGAGAGAGCUGUUAUUCGGGUUCAGGCUAUGUUCCGAUCAAAGAAAGUACAAGAGGAGUAUCGUCGGAUGAAGUUAACCCAUGCUGAAGCAGCGUUGGAAUAUGAAGAGCUUUCACAUCCUGAUAUGAAAUUGAAUGGCUGAAAGCACAAGUUCGUGAAAAGUUCUAUGAUUGUGGCAGUGAUUAAUGGUUAAAGACAGGAGUUUACUUAGCUCAGGCAUACACGAGGAAUGACCGGUGCCAAUACUCGUUAGUCGACGAUGGGAUGAACUUUUUAGAUGGGUCCCAUUGGAGUGAUGCAGCAAUGCUGAGUUAAACCUUCCAUUGAAGUUUGUGUGCAAGUUCUAGUGUAUAAACUAUGAUUGUCAUGUAUAUUGCAGCUGGAGUUAGAUAAGCUUUCAUUUGAUGAUUUGAAUUUUAGUGAUUUCAAUGAUUGAGGUAGUGAUCAGCAUUAUGUACUAUGAACCUUUAAAGAUAUAGACCUCGAGGUCAGCCAACAUCGGUAUAUACUAUGAAUAGUUAAAGACAUGAGACUUGAGUUUACACGAGCUCAAA